rnacentral:rRNA from 1 species
GACGUAGGGGGCAAGCGUUGUCCGGAAUUACUGGGCGUAAGGGGCGUGCAGGCGGUGCGGUACGUAGCGGUUUUAAGCCUCCGGCUCACCCGGAGGAGGGCGGCUAAACGGCAGCACUAGAGGGCAGGAGAGGUGCGCGGAAUUCCUGGUGGAGCGGUGAAAUGCGUAGAGAUCAGGAAGAACACCGGUGGCGAAGGCGGCGCACUGGCCUGGCCCUGACGCUGAGGCGCGACAGCGUGGGGAGCAAACGGGAUUAGAUACCCCGGUAGUCCACGCCGUAAACGAUGGAUACUAGGUGUCGGGGGUCCACCUCGCGGUGCCGGAGCUAACGCACUAAGUAUCCCGCCUGGGGAGUACGGCCGCAAGGUUGAAACUCAAAGGAAUUGACGGGGGCCCGCACAAGCAGUGGAGCAUGUGGUUUAAUUCGACGCAACGCGCAGAACCUUACCAGGACUAGACGGGAUCGUGAGCGCCGCGAAAGCGGCGGGCCCUUCGGGGAGCGAUCGUCAGGUGCUGCAUGGUUGUCGUCAGCUCGUGUCGUGAGAUGUUGGGUUAAGUCCCGCAACGAGCGCAACCCUUGUCGUGUGUUGCCAGCGGUCCGGCCGGGCACUCACACGAGACUGCCGGUGACAAACCGGAGGAAGGUGGGGAUGACGUCAAAUCCGCAUGGCCUUGAUGUCCUGGGCUACACACGUGCUACAAUGGUCCCGACAACGGGCCGCGACGGCGCGAGCCUGAGCGAAUCCUUCAAACGGGACCUCAGUUCGGAUUGCAGGCUGCAACCCGCCUGCAUGAAGUCGGAAUUGCUAGUAAUCGCCCAUCAGCAUGGGGCGGUGAAUUCGUUCCCGGGCCUUGUACACACCGCCCGUCACACCACGAAAGUUGGCCACACCCGAAGCCGGGCGGUCCAACUGCCGCAAGGCAGAGGAUCCCGUCGACGGUGGGGCGGAUGAUUGGGGUG